rnacentral:rRNA from 1 species
UACGAAGGGGGCUAGCGUUGUUCGGAAUUACUGGGCGUAAAGGGCGCGUAGGCGGCUUUGUAAGUUGGAAGUGAAAGCCCAGGGCUUAACCCUGGAAUUGCCUUUAAGACUGCAUCGCUAGAAUCGUGGAGAGGUGAGUGGAAUUCCGAGUGUAGAGGUGAAAUUCGUAGAUAUUCGGAAGAACACCAGUGGCGAAGGCGACUCACUGGACACGUAUUGACGCUGAGGUGCGAAAGCGUGGGGAGCAAACAGG